rnacentral:rRNA from 1 species
UGGCUCACCAAGGCGACGAUGCGUAGCCGACCUGAGAGGGUGAUCGGCCACAUUGGGACUGAGACACGGCCCAGACUCCUACGGGAGCAGCAUG